rnacentral:rRNA from 1 species
CCUACGGGGGGCAGCAGUGAGGAAUAUUGGUCAAUGGGCGGAAGCCUGAACCAGCCAAGUCGCGUGAGGGAUUAAGGCCCUGCGGGUCGUAAACCUCUUUUGCCGGGGAGCAGUGGUCCGGACGCGUCCGGACCGGGAGAGUACCCGGAGAAAAAGCAUCGGCUAACUCCGUGCCAGCAGCCGCGGUAAUACGGGGGAUGCGAGCGUUAUCCGGAUUUAUGGGGUUUAAGGGGUGCGUAGGCGGGCAUUUAAGCCGGCGGUAAAAUGUCGGGGCAAAAGCCCGGCCUGCCGUCGGAACUGGGUGCCUUGAGUGGGCGAGAAGGAUGCGGAAUGCGUGGUGUAGCGGUGAAAUGCAUAGAUAUCACGCAGAACCCCGAUUGCGAAGGCAGCAUACCGGCGCCCUACUGACGCUGAGGCACGAAAGUGCGGGUAUCGAACAGGAUUAGAUACCCGAGUAGUC